rnacentral:lncRNA from 1 species
CAAGUUUCUGCAGUUUGGAGUUUUUGUUCCAACAAAGACGAGGCAUUUCAUAAUCAUGCAACUCUCUAACUGCAGGGAGAGUGAAUGCCCCACACUACUACUCAUCAAUCAUCUUAGGAAAACUCUAAGAAAGCAAAGGCAACGUAUCAGUAUUUCUUACGCACUAAAUAGUAUCUUCCCCCUUUGUUCUUGGGUAGAUUUUAAUUUACUAAGUUUAGUUCACAACCACCUUCUAUUUUGGCAUAGUGAUAAAAAGCACAUCUUUCCACAUAGGUAGCACAGAUUCUAACGUUAGACAAAGCACUCAACAGAAAAUCUAAAUACCCAACUAGGUGGAAAAGCAAGAUGCCCAAAAUCAAUAGUACACUGCACAUAACCAAGUGUAAUAACAAUAAAAAAAUCAUAUCCUAAAAUCAGUGACUUCUGGUAGAGAACAUCUUCCCACAAGUUGACGUGCCCACAAAGAUCAAGGAUGAAACUCUUCAGUAUAAGUUCCAUCAUGAUCACCAAGGCAUUUCCUCAACCAGAAAGAAAGGAUCAAGCCUAGAGGAUCACCCAGACCUUAUUAAAGUAUGUUUCAUCACUUAUUUUCAGGAUACAUUAUCCUAAUUAACUUCUAAACUUCUGAAGAUAGAAUCAGAACAUGCAGAAAACUGCAUAACAAAAACAGUAGACUAUGCAGCAAGAAAGCUGCAUGUAUCCACUGAUUAGGUUGUGAAUAUGUUCCAGAUUCCCCUGGAAUUCCCAUGUUCACAAGUUAAAGGACAAAAAACUCAUAAGCUAUUCCUUUAAUUAGUAGAACAGUGUUAAGGUGGGAAAUUAUUAUACCAAUCAACCUUAUUCAUAAGGCCUUUAUAGAAAAAGCAAUGGCUACAUCAAGUUGAUCAACAAGUAAAGAGGUCCCAUAAAGAAGGCUGUAACAAUAUAUCAUUACUACUAAGACAACAGAGAAAUUUGGUGCCAACCCAUGAGGAUCAGAUAUUACGGCUGGACUCUUUAAGUACAACAAUGAAAUUAAACUAGAACCCAACAUGUCAUAAUCAAUCUAGCAUGACCAGUUUGUUGUUUGUUUUAUAGAAAACCCAUUUUUGAAAGAAUUGACUGGCUUCCUAUUCAUGGAUAGUAGAAGGAACAUUUUCCUAACUUAGCUGAUAUGUUGCCAAAAUGCUUCUGGAUUUAAGCCACACCAGGAUUGAAGUUUCCAAAAACUUCAGCAAAAAUACUAGUAGAGAUUGCUUACUUGUUAUCAUGGUUUAUGUAAAAAUAUUUAGAAGUUUUAGUUGUGUUACUGUACUGCAAGCAUGAAUUAUGCCAAAAGAGAACUUCAUGCUCAUUGACAUCCAUAUAUAGAAAUUCAAUGAACUACAAAAGUGAGAGAAAGAAAACACAUAUGCUAGCACAAAAU